UCGAGAGGCUUCUACAAUGGGUGAAACCCUGAUAGAGUGACGCCGCGUGAAUGAUGAAGGCCUUCGGGUUGUAAAGUUCAGUAAGCAGGGAAGAAUAAGCAACGGGUAAUAUUCGUUGUGAUGACGGUACCUGCCUAAAGCCCCGGCUAACUACGUGCCAGCAGCCGCGGUAAUACGUAUGGGGCAAGCGUUGUUCGGAAUUAUUGGGCGUAAAGGGCGUCUAGGCGGGUGAUUAAGUUAGAUGUGAAAGCCAUGGGCUCAACCCAUAAACUGCAUCUAAGACUGGUUCUCUUGAGUCCGGGAGAGGAGAGCGGAAUUCCAGGUGUAGCGGUGAAAUGCGUAGAUAUCUGGAAGAACACCAGUGGCGAAGGCGGCUCUCUGGCCUAGGACUGACGCUGAAGCGCGAAAGCGUGGGGAGCGAACA
rnacentral:rRNA from 1 species